rnacentral:rRNA from 1 species
CCCGAUGUGGGGGAUAACCAUUGGAAACGAUGGCUAAUACCGCAUGAUGCCUACGGGCCAAAGAGGGGGACCUUCGGGCCUCUCGCGUCAGGAUAUGCCUAGGUGGGAUUAGCUAGUUGGUGAGGUAAGGGCUCACCAAGGCGACGAUCCCUAGCUGGUCUGAGAGGAUGAUCAGCCACACUGGAACUGAGACACGGUCCAGACUCCUACGGGAGGCAGCAGUGGGGAAUAUUGCACAAUGGGCGCAAGCCUGAUGCAGCCAUGCCGCGUGUAUGAAGAAGGCCUUCGGGUUGUAAAGUACUUUCAGUCGUGAGGAAGGUGGUAGCGUUAAUAGCGGUAUCCAUUGACGUUAGCGACAGAAUAAGCACCGGCUAACUCCGUGCCAGCAGCCGCGGUGAUACGGAGGGUGCGAGCGUUAACCCCAAUUACUGGGCGUAUGGCGCGUGCAGGUGGUUUGUUAAGUCAGAUGUGAAAGCCCGGGGCUCAACCUCGGAAUAGCAUUUGAAACUGGCAGACUAGAGUACUGUAGAGGGGGGUAGAAUUUCAGGUGUAGCGGUGAAAUGCGUAGAGAUCUGAAGGAAUACCCGUGGCGAACGCCGCCCCCCUGGACAUGAUACUGACACUCAGAUGAGAAAGCGUGGGGAGCAAACAUGAUUAGAUACCUGGUAGUCCACGCCGUAAACGAUGUCUACUUGGAGGUUGUGGCCUUGAGCCGUGGCUUUCGGAGCUAACGCGUUAAGUAGACCGCCUGGGGAGUACGGUCGCAAGAUUAAAACUCAAAUGAAUUGACGGGGGCCCGCACAAGCGGUGGAGCAUGUGGUUUAAUUCGAUGCAACGCGAAGAACCUUACCUACUCUUGACAUCCAGAGAACUUUCCAGAGAUGGAUUGGUGCCUUCGGGAACUCUGAGACAGGUGCUGCAUGGCUGUCGUCAGCUCGUGUUGUGAAAUGUUGGGUUAAGUCCCGCAACGAGCGCAACCCUUAUCCUUGUUUGCCAGCGAGUAAUGUCGGGAACUCCAGGGAGACUGCCGGUGAUAAACCGGAGGAAGGUGGGGACGACGUCAAGUCAUCAUGGCCCUUACGAGUAGGGCUACACACGUGCUACAAUGGCGCAUACAGAGGGCGGCCAACUUGCGAAAGUGAGCGAAUCCCAAAAAGUGCGUCGUAGUCCGGAUUGGAGUCUGCAACUCGACUCCAUGAAGUCGGAAUCGCUAGUAAUCGUGGAUCAGAAUGCCACUGAGAAU